GUGUCAGCAGCCGCGGUAAUACGAAGGGGGCUAGCGUUGCUCGGAAUUACUGGGCGUAAAGGGCGCGUAGGCGGACAUUUAAGUCAGGGGUGAAAUCCCAGAGCUCAACUCUGGAACUGCCUUUGAUACUGGGUGUCUUGAGUGUGAGAGAGGUAUGUGGAACUCCGAGUGUAGAGGUGAAAUUCGUAGAUAUUCGGAAGAACACCAGUGGCGAAGGCGACAUACUGGCUCAUUACUGACGCUGAGGCGCGAAAGCGUGGGGAGCAAACAGGAUUAGAUCCCCUGGUAGUCCACGCCGUAAACGAUGAUUGCUAGUUGUCGGGCUGCAUGCAGUUCGGUGACGCAGCUAACGCAUUAAGCAAUCCGCCUGGGGAGUACGGUCGCAAGAUUAAAACUUAAAGGAAUUGGCGG
rnacentral:rRNA from 1 species